AACUCAAAGGCGAUGCACUCAUUACUCAUUAAACAAUGACAAUCAAAACUAAACCUACAUGCCAAUCAUUAUUAUACAAUAACAAUUCAAAAGUGGGGUUCUACAGUGUCCGGUCGGUAGGUAAAUAAUCGGGUUUUAGAGGGCCGGGUCGGUCAGAAAAUGCCUCAAACGACUUUCCAGAGCCUUCUCUCUACUCCGUUUCCAUUCUACAUCUUCUCUCCAUCCCACUAUGCUACUAUCUCAUCUCCAUAACCGAUCGAUUACCCGCUUCUCCAUCAUCAAUCUUAAAGUUUGGUCGCUUACUUCUUCAACAGUCAGCCACUCCGUUGCCGGCCGCUCCAUCAACAGAUUCUUCCCAGAGCUUCAUUAAGGAUUUAAUUGUAGCUGUUGAGUGUUUUUGCUUAUAAAAUUAAGGUCUUGGCUUCAACUUCCUAAUCGGUUACAACUUAACCGAAGGCUGGGCAGAGAUGCAAUUUGACAACUUGGAUGGGAACUUUGAUGAAUGUCAUCGAAAGCAAAGGACGACUACGACCAUAGGUAUCUGUCACAGACAACGUCGGUGGCUAAAGUAAACCUUAGAGCUCUCAUUUAAUACAUGAUUUGUUAAACCUUAGGCCAAUUUGGUUACAAAAUGGGCAAUUGGUCAAGGUCAUUUUGUAAAGCUAUAGUUUUGAUUGAAAAGCUACAUUUUGUAACCCAAGUCUAAUCCUGUUUGAAAUAUAUAUAAAAAAAAAACAUAAUAUACUCAUUUAUAAGCAAAUAGGUUCCUUUCACUGAUUGUUGAUGUUAAGAGUAUAGAAUUGAACUUGCUAUGUUGCAUUUAGUUUGAGGCCAGUGGUCCUGCUUAUGUAUGUGGUUAUUGAUAGAAGGGACCUACGGUUGUGUUCAACCAUUCAAUGUAUUAUCACCUAAUUCAUAUAUUGUCCAUGAGAUUUCUUUACAAGAUGAACAUUCCGCUGAGAUUAGCGACCGUAAGCCAACCACAAUAGUGUUAAAGACGAAAACUUAUACAAUGAAGUUGAAUCAAUCAUUGGACCCAAUUAAUUUGCCGUUAAAAUCUUCCUUGGCUUUUCACUUUCGUGAGGUCAUUACCAAAUGUGCUUGCAAAUGCUUUCUGUUUAUUCAAGUGAGUUCUUUCUUUCAUCGCUGGCAAAUUCAUGUGAUUACUUAGUUUCUUGCAAACUAAUUUUGCACCUACAAAGGGCAAUAAGUGGACCUUUUGACUAUCGAUUAUUGGCGGCUGAUAGUUCACAUAACACUUAUGGAUUCCAAGAAUAAAAGGUCAGAGAAAGUUGCCCAACCAAACAAAAUUUUCAUUGAAACUUCUUAGAAUAGGGGUUUAGAAGGUUCGUUUUCUUUCAAUAUAAAGUUCUUAUCUAAACCUGCCAUGAGCAGAUUUUGUUUUGGUUCCAUUAAUCAGUCAUGGAUGGACUGCAAGAUAUUAAGUACAUUUAUGAGAUAAGAGUUGUAAGAAAGAAGUGCAAAGCAAAAGGGAAGACAAGAUUAGAUAUGAAAACAAAACACAAAAAUUAUGGAGGAAGGUCAUUUGGUCGAUCCAUUGUUGUUCCCGUUCUUAGUCCUCUAUUCUUGUUAGGCUCUCUCAAUCGCGCCCUUGGAAGCAAAUCACGCCAUAGAUUUCAGGUGAGCUUAAUAGAAAGGAAGUUUGUUUGGAAAACGCUAUAAUAGGUUUACUGCGUUCGGGGUUAGCUAUUCUAUUAUGGAUACACAAGCAAGAACUAUGAUCAGUACAUGAUUGGGUUUCUAUGAAUGGGGUAAGGGUUGUUUUCUCUUGGCAGUGGAACAAUGGGUUCUCUUUGGAACUUACUGAUCUGCCAGAUUGUUAUGGUUCAGAAACGUAUUAAAUUUGAAGUAUUAAAAAGUAUAACUUUUUGAUAUAGAGUUAUGUAUGUUAUGCCCUUAGGAAUUUUCUAUGAACACUGCCACAUUUAAGUUUGUCAUAUUUGUAAAGCUUUGAUGUUUAAAAGCAAUUAAAAUACUAAAUUACUAUUA